CUACGGGGGGCUGCAGUGGGGAAUAUUGGACAAUGGAGGAAACUCUGAUCCAGCCAUGCCGCGUGAAUGAUGAAGGCCCUCGGGUUGUAAAGUUCUUUUGGUGGGGAAGAUGAUGACUGUACCCACAGAAUAAGCUCCGGCUAACUUCGUGCCAGCAGCCGCGGUAAUACGAAGGGAGCUAGCGUUGUUCGGAAUUACUGGGCGUAAAGGGUGCGUAGGCGGUUUAGUUAGUCAGAUGUGAAAGCCCCGGGCUCAACCUGGGAACUGCGUUUGAUACUGCUAAACUAGAAUUCGGUAGAGGUGAGUGGAAUUCCCAGUGUAGAGGUGAAAUUCGUAGAUAUUGGGAAGAACACCAGUGGCGAAGGCGGCUCACUGGACCGACAUUGACGCUGAGGCACGAAAGCGUGGGGAGCAAACAGGAUUAGAUACCCCCGUAGUC
rnacentral:rRNA from 1 species